rnacentral:misc_RNA from 1 species
UCCACUCAACCCCUGAUACGAACCAAGACACAGAAUAUCCAUAUUGGAUACAUAGACAAAUACCCUAACCAAGUGAUCAUAGAUAACUCUGACACCUGAUUGAUAUUAUAUGGUCAUAAAUCUUUGAGUCCAUCCUAGGUUGUUACAUUGGUCAGGAAGGCCAAAGAUCCUUUAUAAGUUCUUUUAAGACAACUUCAAGCUUCAAGAUGGCCCCAUGAGUGAGUGCCAUGAAG